rnacentral:lncRNA from 1 species
GAAAGUCCCUGCUACAACGAAUGGGAGUGUUUAACUACUAAGGCAUUGACCAUAAUGUUCUCGUGCGAUCGGGAGAUGUUAAAAAAAAACUAUCCAACAGCUGAUUCAGCCGGUAACGAAUUUCCGAUAUCAUAAAAGAUUCACAAUACGAAGGGAACUUCCUCUGAUUAAUUGAGCCCCUAAAUGAAUGUGAAUAGUUAAGUUUUAUUCAAAAUUGUCGAAAGCAAAGUUUCAUAUGUGUUCUCGUACGAAUAUAUACUGAAUAACAGACAGACGGCCACACGAAAAAAUAAAUAAAGCUAUACUGAAACGGUUAACUUUCUAUCAAAAUUCCGGAAAA